rnacentral:misc_RNA from 1 species
GACGGAGGGUGCAAGCGUUGUCCGGAAUUAUUGGGCGUAAAGCGUGCGUAGGUGGUUCGUUAAGUCAGAGGUUAAAGACCGGGGCUCAACCCCGGGAGUGCCUUUGAAACUGGCGAGCUAGAGAACGGCAGAGGAAAGUGGAAUUCCCAGUGUAGCGGUGAAAUGCGUAGAUAUUGGGAGGAACACCAGUGGCGAAAGCGACUUUCUGGGCCGUUUCUGACACUGAGGCACGAAAGCGUGGGUAGCAAACAGG